CUUCCAUUAAGUACAGGCUAAUGAGACAGCGCAGCUAGGACAAGGCCAGCAGAGUAUCGAGAACUGUUUGUCAAAACUGUCUUCACAUCCUGCGGUUGCUGUGCAAUCCGUGCGAGGGCCCUUCUCCACGCGGUUAUUCCUGAGCUGGUGUCCAGCUUCUGAGUCCAGACCGCACCAACUCAAAUCUGCUUUCAGGGCAACCUGGCAAGUCUCAUGCCUCUGCUCGGAACUUGACCUUGACCUUCAUCCUUUUAUCUUUCCUGCAGGUGUCCUAGUACUUGGGGCGUCUCCAAUGCAAGUCUGAGAAAUUGUCUAAACCCACAGCUGGAGCAAGGGCUCUCAUACACUGCAACCACCACAGUCUUUCCCAAGGGCAGCCUGACCACGUGUGAGACAAGCUAUCCCAUAAGCCUUUCCUUCUGACCAGCAGUUGCCUUUUGGAAUAUGUGGGUCCUGAAGCUCUGAUGUGUGUGAUGUCUGUUCCGAUAUAGGCUCUUCGUCUUUACCCCAGUGAUUUCCUGCAUCUGGGCAGGGUCUGGGAAUCUUUAACAAGCUCUUCACGUGAGUCUUUGAGAACACUGCCCUAAGGAAAUUACUUAUAAAGUGGAUCUAUUUGUGUGAGAUGUUCUCAUAAAACUAUUUGCAAUAGGGGGGAAAAGUGAUAAGGCCCCCAAACUCCACUUGUUGGGAAAGAUUAAACAUUACAGUUUCAUGAAGAAAUGCUAUUUUGACAUUAAACCUAAAAGAUCACAGACCCAUAGACUGAGGAACAGACCUGAGUUACCUUGAAAUCAUCCACUUCAGCGCCUGAGUGGCUUGCUCGUUCUCACAGCAUGAAUUCCCAAUUCUGACAUGGUAAGAAAAAUCUGCAGAAGACAAUGCCACGUAACAAAAGUAGAACCAAGAGACUGCAUGCCACUUUUAGCAAUUAUUUUCAAAACAUUGUGCUCUGACAGUAUCAGAUGAGUCUUAUUAUGAGACUUUCCAGACGUCGUAAGGGAAUUAUGUUGUAGAACAUAGUGGUUUCUGACUGUGGAAGCAGUUGACUACAUCCCCCAAUUAAAGAAUAUUUCCCCCAAAUUCCCUUUCAAGUUUGCAGCGUAAACCUUUGGUUCCAAGAGAUACCCCUUGGCUCAAGCAGCUGCUGUAGUUCCAGCUCACUGCCAAUCACGUCCCCCAAGACCAAAGAAAGGUAUAUGUGUCUAUGCAGAGAAAGAGAUAAAACGAAAGUGACAAAAUAGGAUCAACUGAUGCAUCCACGUGAAUAGCAUCACUUCCCAAGGAGAGAAGGCAAGCGGAGGGCGUGAACAAAGCGUGUGGAUGUGGAUCUUGCGCCCUGCAGGCUGGCUGCUCUGCUGCGGUCCUUAGCCAGCUCCUUCCCUCUGGUCAGCUCCCACAGGCAGCUUCCUUCUAUGCAGGAGGAUUUGGAAACUAGAAACAGUUCCUGGAAACACUGCUGUCUGGUCAUUGGGGGCUGUGAAAUAUUACUAUGAAAUAAAGGCAGUAAUUCUCAA